GACGUAUUAUGUCUGCCAGCAGUUGGCUUAAAAACUACGAAAUUGAUGCUAUAAUGUAUGUUUUCCGGGAAAGAACAACAUUGAAACGAUGGAACGUAGAUCGUGUUGCUUUCAUGACAUGCGUCUUCAGCGACCUCAUUGCUAAGGAUUACCAGAAUUUCUGUAAGGGAA